rnacentral:rRNA from 1 species
UACAGAGGUCCCGAGCGUUGUUCGGAUUUAUUGGGCGUAAAGGGCGCGUAGGCGGCGGGACAAGUUUUUGGUAAAAGGCAGAGGCUCAACCUCUGUAAGCCAAGAAUACUGUUCCUCUGGAGGCAUGUCGGGGAAGUUGGAAUUAUCGGUGUAGCAGUGAAAUGCGUAGAUAUCGAUAGGAACACCAGUGGCGAAAGCGAACUUCUAGGCAUUGCCUGACGCUGAGGCGCGAAAGCCAAGGUAGCAAACGGG